AUAAAGAGAGGAAGAGACAGAGAAGGAGGGAAAGGGAGACCAAUGAUGGUUUCCAUUUAGCUGGAUACCAUACACUUUAAACUCUACAGCAGCAACUCAUUCAUCUACACUUUAAACUCUACAGUAGCAACAGAAGCCAGUCAGAUAGAGAGUGCUCCUGUCGUGGGAAGGAUGGCGAGCAGAGGCUUGGUGCAGGACCACAGUACCUCCAGACCUCCAGACAGACUGCCAAAGAUCACACUGUCCAGGCCCAGACAACAAUCUCACCCCCUGUUCGGCAGCGGACCCCUUACCCACUCUUCCCUCCACACCCCUACACACCUCAGCUACAGACGGAGCAAGGGUGGACCCAGAAUGACCAGCGCAUCAACAGGUAAGAUUACCUUUA